CUUGAUCGAGCCCAGGUAGAGCGGCUGCUCCUCCGGCCGGUCCUGCCCGUACGUGGCCAGCAGUGCCUGCGCCUC
rfam:Streptomyces sp. NBRC 110027 DNA, contig: TPA059803.